rnacentral:lncRNA from 1 species
GAUUCCUUCAAGUGAUAAUAUGGCUGAUUUGUUCACAAAAUCUCUACCACCGUCAACCUUCAAGAAGCUAGUUCACAAGAUCGGAAUGCGAAGACUUAAGGAUAUGAGUUGAUGUUCUUAUCAGGGGGAGUUAAUGCGCGUUGCACUCUUUUUCCCUUACAAGGUUUUGUCCCACUGGGUUUUCCUUGCAAGGUUUUUAACGAGGAAUGCGCGUUGCACUCUUUUUCCCUUAAAAGGUUUUGUCCCACUGGGUUUUCCUUGC